UACGGAGGGGGCUAGCGUUGUUCGGAAUUAUUGGGCGUAAAGCGCGCGCAGGUGGUUCCUUAAGUCUGAUGUGAAAGCCCACGGCUCAACCGUGGAGGGUCAUUGGAAACUGGGGAACUUGAGUGCAGAAGAGGAAAGUGGAAUUCCAAGUGUAGCGGUGAAAUGCGUAGAGAUUUGGAGGAACACCAGUGGCGAAGGCGACUUUCUGGUCUGUAACUGACACUGAGGCGCGAAAAGCGUGGGGAGCAAACAGG
rnacentral:rRNA from 1 species